rnacentral:tRNA from 1 species
UCCAUGGUGGCCUAAUGGUUAAAGAUUUGGCAUCGUCACUGCUAUGGUUCAGGUUCAAUUCCUGGCCCUGGGG